rnacentral:lncRNA from 1 species
AAAUUUUCUAGGAUGGAAUUGAAGGAUCCCGGGCUUGGUCAGAUGAUGAUUCGGAUGAAGAACCAACUUCUUUAGAUCUGUCAUCCGGUAGUAAAGAUUGCUGUGUUUUAGAGGUUGAUGAUCCUAAAGAUGAAGAAGUACUUUGCUCAUUAAUGAAAGAACGUCCACCUGAUGGCUUCCAUGUUGUAAAUACUGAGACAAUCCCUGGGCUCGAUGAUUUAGAGAUAGU